rnacentral:misc_RNA from 1 species
GGCGUCGUCACCGCCUCUGCCGAUGGCCCUCUCGCCGUCAACGGCUUCUUCGCUGGCUUCUUUGGAGCUGAAGACGGAAGCGGCGCAGCCGCAGGCGGCUUAGGCCCGAAGAUAUCAUUUGGCAGCAACACUUUAUCGAUCGAGUACACCGCUAAAGGGAAAUCUGAAUACAAAUUAUUACUGAUCACAGUCUGGUCGACUCCCGUCGACACAUUAACCUGAUUGGUGCUGCUAGUGAUGUUGACAGUGUAGACACCGUUAUUACCGGAGGCUUGGGUUCGAAUUGGGUUGCUG